CUGCGGAGGGAUCAUUACACAAAUAUGAAGGCGGGCUGGAACCUCUCGGGGUUACAGCCUUGCUGAAUUAUUCACCCUUGUCUUUUGCGUACUUCUUGUUUCCUUGGUGGGUUCGCCCACCACUAGGACAAACAUAAACCUUUUGUAAUUGCAAUCAGCGUCAGUAACAAAUUAAUAAUUACAACUUUCAACAACGGAUCUCUUGGUUCUGGCAUCGAUGAAGAACGCAGCGAAAUGCGAUAAGUAGUGUGAAUUGCAGAAUUCAGUGAAUCAUCGAAUCUUUGAACGCACAUUGCGCCCUUUGGUAUUCCAAAGGGCAUGCCUGUUCGAGCGUCAUUUGUACCCUCAAGCUUUGCUUGGUGUUGGGCGUCUUGUCUCUAGCUUUGCUGGAGACUCGCCUUAAAGUAAUUGGCAGCCGGCCUACUGGUUUCGGAGCGCAGCACAAGUCGCACUCUCUAUCAGCAAAGGUCUAGCAUCCAUUAAGCCUUUUUUUCAACUUUUGACCUCGGAUCAGGUAGGGAUACCCGCUGAACUUAAGCAUAUCAUA
rnacentral:rRNA from 1 species